UUGGACCAUACCACCCUGAACGCACCCAGUCUUGUCUGGUCUUGGAAGCUAAGCAGGGUUGAGCCUUGUUAGUACUUGGAUGGGAGACAGAUCUUCAGAAGACACUGCUCAGAGACAAAC
rnacentral:rRNA from 1 species